rnacentral:lncRNA from 1 species
GAGAUGACCCAUAGUACCCCAUUCCUUGCUGCAAUGUAAUUAUAUUUAAUUACAAGUGUGCCCCUGGUAGUCUUUAACUGAAGGGCACUGACUGGGUCACUGGUGAAGUUCCCCGCAGGAACUGAGUCAGACCCCAUCUCAGGGCCCUGCACAAGAUAGGUGCCUGCUCUAAGGCGUGGACCCUCGCCACAGCCCUGGCCCGUCUUGACGGGCGAGGGUUACUGUACUUGUCCCAACCGUACAGAUGAGAAAGCUGAGACUCAGGGCCAGCAACCCGGGUCCCAGCGGAGCGCCCGGCACACGCCGACACUUCAGCACCAGUGGCGGUGGCCACCACUGUGGGCGGAGAUGGCUGCGACGCGUGCGCAGGGAAAUUUGUGCACAGAGAUAACACAGGGGAUAUGCCAUAUGAAGAUGAAGGCAGAAUUCUACAAGCCCAGGGAUGCCAAAGAUUGCCAGCAAACCACCAGAAGCUAGGAGAGAAGUGUGGAUUAGAUUCUUCCUCACAGCCCUCAGAAGGAUCCAGCCCUGCCAAGAACUUGAUCUCAGACUUCUAGUCUCCAGAACUGUGAGACAGUGCAUUUUGUUUUGUAAGUCAGCCAUAUGGUUUGUGGCACUUUUUUAUGGCAGCCCUAGGAGAUGAAGACAAUAUGCAACAUGGUAUGUCCAUUAUAGGACACUGUGGGCCAUAAAUGUGUUCUUUGGCCUGAAGAAAUAAAACUUGGUGGUCCAAGUUGAUGUCUUAUCA